rnacentral:rRNA from 1 species
AUUGAACGCUGGCGGCAGGCCUAACACAUGCAAGUCGAGCGGAUGAAGGGAGCUUGCUCCUGGAUUCAGCGGCGGACGGGUGAGUAAUGCCUAGGAAUCUGCCUGGUAGUGGGGGAUAACGUCCGGAAACGGGCGCUAAUACCGCAUACGUCCUGAGGGAGAAAGUGGGGGAUCUUCGGACCUCACGCUAUCAGAUGAGCCUAGGUCGGAUUAGCUAGUUGGUGGGGUAAAGGCCUACCAAGGCGACGAUCCGUAACUGGUCUGAGAGGAUGAGCAGUCACACUGGAACCGAGACACGGUCCAGACUCCUACGGGAGGCAGCAGUGGGGAAUAUUGGACAAUGGGCGAAAGCCUGAUCCAGCCAUGCCGCGUGUGUGAAGAAGGUCUUCGGAUUGUAAAGCACUUUAAGUCGGGAGGAAGGGCAGUAAGUUAAUACCUUGCUGUUUUGACGUUACCAACAGAAUAAGCACCGGCUAACUUCGUG